rnacentral:rRNA from 1 species
UACGUAGGGGGCAAGCGUUGUCCGGAUUUAUUGGGCGUAAAGAGCGUGUAGGCGGCCUGGAAGGUCAGCUGUGAAAACUCGAGGCUCAACCUCGAGACGUCGGUUGAAACCACCUGGCUAGAGUCCGGAAGAGGAGAGUGGAAUUCCCGGUGUAGCGGUGAAAUGCGCAGAUAUCGGGAAGAACACCCGUGGCGAAGGCGGCUCUCUGGGACGUGACUGACGCUGAGACGCGAAAGCGUGGGGAGCGAACAGG